rnacentral:tRNA from 1 species
GAAAAAGAAUGCAAGAACUGCUAAUUCAUGCCUCUGUACUUAAAAGUGCAGCUUUUUCA